UUUUUUAGAUUUUUUUUUCUUUCUUUUUUAGCUUGUUCUCACUCUUUGACUUUUUUAGUGUCUCUCUCAACCAUGGUCUUUAAUACAACUAUAACACCCUUGUAAUGCAAGGCUUAGGUACUAGGAUUUUUUAUUCUCCAAUUGCAUUCCGUUUAGAGAAAUGAGCAAAAAAAUAAAGAAUGUGAGAGAGAUAAUUUUGGAGACUAGGAUUCCAAAAAAGAACCUCCUAAAUUAAAUGGAACAAUUGCAAUGAGAUAACUUUGGCAAUAAGCCUAUGUCCUUGGCCACACUAGGUUUUUUCUUUUGUUUUCUCCCAAUGAAUCAAUAUUACAAGAAAAUAUUCUAUUUAUAUCUAAAAGUCUAGAAUUCUAAAAAAAACAUGAUAAUUAUAAAAUUAUUUUUUAAAAUAUUUAUUAAAAGAAAAUUUAAAUUAGAUAAUAUGAUUUUAAAUUUGUGUAAUAUAUUUUAUAACCUUAGUAUCUUCAAAAAUAAUUUCAGAAUAUUUUGUUGUAUUUACAAAUAAAACCAUACUAGACCAACAAAUAUCAUUGAAUAUUUAUAGAUAAAGAAAGAAUAAAGAUCCUUAUUUGCAGAUUUUUUAGAUUGACUAUUAUUCUUAAAUUUAAAAUUAUUUUUUUAUUCAAUGUGUCUAA
rnacentral:lncRNA from 1 species